AGAGUUUGAUUCUGGCUCAGAUCGAACGCUGGCGGCGUGGAUAAGACAUGCAAGUCGAACGAGAGAAUUAGUAGCUUGCUAAUAAUUCUCUAGUGGCGCACGGGUGAGUAACACGUGAGUAACCUGCCCCCAAGAGUGGGAUAGCCCCGGGAAACUGGGAUUAAUACCGCAUAAGAUCGCAAGAUUAAAGCAGCAAUGCGCUUGGGGAUGGGCUCGCGUCCUAUUAGUUAGUUGGUGAGGUAACGGCUCACCAAGGCGAUGACGGGUAGCCGGUCUGAGAGGAUGUCCGGCCACACUGAAACUGAGACACGGUCCAGACACCUACGGGUGGCAGCAGUCGAGAAUCAUUCACAAUGGGGGCAACCCUGAUGGUGCGACGCCGCGUGGGGGAAUGAAGGUCUUCGGAUUGUAAACCCCUGUCAUGUGGGAGCAAAUUAAAAAGAUAGUACCACAAGAGGAAGAGACGGCUAACUCUGUGCCAGCAGCCGCGGUAAUACAGAGGUCUCAAGCGUUGUUCGGAAUCACUGGGCGUAAAGCGUGCGUAGGCGGUUUCGUAAGUCGUGUGUGAAAGGCGGGGGCUCAACCCCCGGACUGCACAUGAUACUGCGAGACUAGAGUAAUGGAGGGGGAACCGGAAUUCUCGGUGUAGCAGUGAAAUGCGUAGAUAUCGAGAGGAACACUCGUGGCGAAGGCGGGUUCCUGGACAUUAACUGACGCUGAGGCACGAAGGCCAGGGGAGCGAAAGGGAUUAGAUACCCCUGUAGUCCUGGCAGUAAACGGUGCACGCUUGGUGUGCGGGGAAUCGACCCCCUGCGUGCCGGAGCUAACGCGUUAAGCGUGCCGCCUGGGGAGUACGGUCGCAAGAUUAAAACUCAAAGGAAUUGACGGGGACCCGCACAAGCGGUGGAUGAUGUGGAUUAAUUCGAU
rnacentral:rRNA from 1 species